rnacentral:rRNA from 1 species
AAUCAACGCUGGCGGCGUGCCUCAGACAUGCAAGUCGAACGAUUAAACUUUCCUUCGGGAAAGAUAUAAAGUGGCGCACGGGUGAGUAACACGUAAGUAAUCUACCUUCGAGUGGGGAAUAACAGUCGGAAACGACUGCUAAUACCGCAUAAUGCAGCGGCAUCGCAAGAUGACAGUUGUUAAAGGAGCAAUCCGCUUGAAGAGGAGCUUGCGGCAGAUUAGCUAGUUGGUAAGGUAAUGGCUUACCAAGGCUACGAUCUGUAUCCGGCCUGAGAGGGCGGUCGGACACACUGACACUGAACAACGGGUCAGACUCCUACGGGAGGCAGCAGUCGGGAAUUUUGGGCAAUGGGCGAAAGCCUGACCCAGCAACGCCGCGUGAAGGAUGAAGUAUUUCGGUAUGUAAACUUCGAAAGAAUGGGAAGAAUAAAUGACGGUACCAUUUAUAAGCUCCGGCUAACUACGUGCCAGCCGCCGCCGUAAGAC